GCUCAACCGGGGAGGGUCAUUGGAAACUGGGGAACUUGAGUGCAGAAGAGGAGAGUGGAAUUCCACGUGUAGCGGUGAAAUGCGUAGAGAUGUGGAGGAACACCAGUGGCGAAGGCGACUCUCUGGUCUGUAACUGACGCUGAGGCGCGAAAGCGUGGGGAGCGAACAGGAUUAGAUACCCUGGUAGUCCACGCCGUAAACGAUGAGUGCUAAGUGUUAGAGGGUUUCCGCCCUUUAGUGCUGCAGCAAACGCAUUAAGCACUCCGCCUGGGGAGUACGGUCGCAAGACUGAAACUCAAAGGAAUUGACGGGGGCCCGCACAAGCGGUGGAGCAUGUGGUUUAAUUCGAAGCAACGCGAAGAACCUUACCAGGUCUUGACAUCCUCUAACAACCCUAGAGGUAGGGCUUCCCCUUCGGGGGCAGAGUGACAGGUGGUGCAUGGUUGUCGUCAGCUCGUGUCGUGAGAUGUUGGGUUAAGUCCCGCAACGAGCGCAACCCUUGAUCUUAGUUGCCAGCAUUCAGUUGGGCACUCUAAGGUGACUGCCGGUGACAAACCGGAGGAAGGUGGGGAUGACGUCAAAUCAUCAUGCCCCUUAUGACCUGCGCUACACACGUGCUACAAUGGGCAGAACAAAG
rnacentral:rRNA from 1 species